ensembl:lncRNA
CAAAAAGGAGAAUCCACCUCAGGUGAGACCGAGGUCCUCCAAGUGACCACCGGGGCGCCAUCCGCCGCCCGCCCCGCGCGCCCCGCCCGCCCUGCAAACACCGAGAGACAGAGGAGCUGCGGCGACCUGCGCAGACCGCGGGGCUGGACAACUCCUCUUCCGACUAGCUGGACUGUUGCUGUGGGUUGGACCGCAUUUCCCAAGGCUGUUUUGGCAGUAAUGCCUGUGACGCCAAGGACUCUUCACCCAGAAUGUUACAAAAACCCUUCAGUAUCUGUACUAUCAGUUCAGUUCAGCUCAGUCGCUCAGUCGUGUCCGACUCUGCGACCCCAUGAACUGCAGAACCCAGGCCACCCUGUCCAUCACCAACCCCCGGAGUUCACUCAGACUCACGUCCAUCGAGCCGGUGAUGCCACCCACCCAUCUCCUCCUCUGUCGUCCCCUUCUCCUGCCCUCAGUCUUUCAGGCUAUUUUCCAACGAGUCAGCUCUUCGCAUCAGGUGGCCAAAGUACUGGAGUUUCAGCUUCAACAUCAGUCCUUCCAAUGAACACUCAGGACUGAUCUCCUUUAGGAUGGACUGGUUGGAUCUCCUUGCAGUCCAAGGGACUCUCAAGUGUCUUCUCCAACACCACAGUUCAAAAGCAUCAAUUUUUAGGUGCUCAGCUUUCUUUAUAGUCCAACUCUCACAUCCAUACAUGACUACUGGAAAAACCAUAGCCUUGACUAGACGGACCUUUGUUGGCAAAGUAAUGUCUCUGCUUUUCAAUAUGCUACCUAGGUUGGUCAUAACUUUCCUUCCAAGGAGUAAGCGUCUUUUAAUUUCAUGGCUGCAAUCACCAUCUGCAGUGAUUUUGGAGCCACCCCAAAAUAAAGUCUGACACUGUUUCCCCAUCUAUUUCCUAUGAAGUGAUGGGACCAGAUGCCAUGAUCUUCGUUUUCUGAAUGUUGAGCUUUAAGCCAACUUUUUCACUCUCCUCUUUCACUUUCAUCAAGAGGCUUUUUAGCUCCUCUUCACUUUCUGCUAUAAGGGUGGUGUCAUCUGCAUAUCUGAGGAUAUUGAUAUUUCUCCCGGCAAUCUGGAUUCCAGCUUGUUUCUUCCAGUCCAGCGUUUCUCAUGAUGUACUCUGCAUAUAAGUUAAAUAAGCAGGGUGACAAUAUACAGCCUUGACGUACUCCUUUUCCUAUUUGGAACCAGUCUGUUGUUCCAUGUCCAGUUCUAACUGUUGCUUCCUGACCUGCAUACAGAUUUUUCAGGAGGCAGAUCAGGUGGUCUGGUAUUCCCAUCACUUUCAGAAUUUUCCACAGUUUAUUGUGAUCCACACAGUCAAAGGCUUUGGUAUAGUCAAUGAAGCAGAAAUAGAUGCUUUUCUGGAACUCUCUUGCUUUUUCCAUGAUCCAACAGACGCUGGCAAUUUGAUCUCUGGUUCCUCUGCCUUUUCUAAAACCAGCUUGAACAUCUGGAAGUUCACAGUUCACGUAUUGCUGAAGCCUGGCUUGGAGAAUUUUGAGCAUUACUUUACUAGCAUGUGAGAUGAGUGCAAUUGUGCAGUAGUUUGAGCAUUCUUCGGCAUUGCCUUUCUUUGAGAUUGGAAUGAAAACUGACCUUUUCCAGUCCUGUGGUCACUGCUGAGUUUUCCAAAUUUGCUGGCAUAUUGAGUGCAGCACUUUCACAGCAUCAUCUUUCAGGAUUUGAAAUAGCUCCACUGGAAUUCCAUCACCUCCACUAGCUUUGUUCAUAGUGAUGCUUUCUAAGGCCCACUUGACUUCACAUUCCAGGAUGUCUGGCUCUAGAUGAGUGAUCACACCAUCGUGAUUAUCUUGGUCAUGAAGAUCUUUUUUGUACAGUUCUUCUGUGUAUUCUUGCCACCUCUUCUUAAUAUCUUCUGCUUCUGUUAGGUCCAGACCAUUUCUGUCCUUUAUCGAGCCCAUCGUUGCAUGAAAUGUUCCCUUGGUAUCUCUAAUUUUCUUGAAGAGAUCUCUAGUCUUUCCCAUUCUGUUGUUUCCCUCUAUUUCUUUGCAUUGAUCGCUGAGGAAGGCUUUCUUAUCUCUUCUUGCUGUUCUCUGGAACUCUGCAUUCAGAUGCUUGUAUCUUUCCUUUUCUCCUUUGCUUUUCGCUUCUCUUCUUUUCACAGCUAUUUGUAAGGCCUCCCCAGACAGCCAUUUUGCCUUUUUGCAUUUCUUUUCCGUGGAGAUGGUCUUGAUCCCUGUCUCCUGUACAAUGUCACGAACCUCAUUCCAUAGUUCAUCAGGCACUCUAUCUCUCAGAUCUAGGCCCUUAAAUCUAUUUCUCACUUCCACUGCAUAAUCAUAAGGGAUUUGAUUUAGGUCAUACCUGAAUGGUCUAGCGGUUUUCCUAUUUUCUUCAAUUUAAGUCUGAAUUUGGCAAUAAGGAGUUCAUGAUCUGAGCCAUAGUCAGCUCCUGGUCUUGUUCUUGCUGACUGUAUAGACCUUCUCCAUCUUUGGCUGCAAAGAAUAUAAUCAACCUGAUUUUGGUGUUGACCAUCUGAUGAUGUCCAUGUGUAGAGUCUUCUCUUGUGUUGUUGGAAGAGGGUGUUUGCUAUGACCAGUGCAUUUUCUUGGCAAAACUCUAUUCGUCUUUGCCCUGCUUCAUUCCGCAUCCCAAGGCCAAAUUUGCCUGUUACUCCAGGUGUUUCUUGACUUCCUGCUUUUGCAUUCCAAUCCCCUAGAAUGAAAAGGACAUCUUUUUGGAGGUAUUAGUUCUAAAAGGUCUUGUAGGUCUUUAUAAAACCGUUCAACUUCAGCUUCUUCAGCGUUACUGGUUGGGGCAUAGACUUGGAUAACUGUGAUAUUGAAUGGUUUGCCUUGGAGACAAACAGAGAUCAUUCUGUCAUUUGUGAGAUUGCAUCCAAGUACUGCAUUUUGAACUUUUUUGUUGACCGUGAUGGCUACUCCAUUUCUUCUGAGGGAUUCCUGCCUGCAGUAGUAGAUAUAAUGGUCAUCUGAGUUAAAUUCACCCGUUCCAGUCCAUUUUAGUUUGCUGAUUCCUAGAAUGUCGACCUUCACUCUUGCCAUCUCUUGUCUGACCACUUCCAAUUUGCCUUGAUUCAUGGACCUGACAUUCCAGGUUCCUCUGCAAUAUUGCUCUUUACAGCAUCCGACCUUGCUUCUAUCACCAGUCCCAUCCACAGCUGGGUGUUGGUUUUGCUUUGGCUCCGUCUCUUCGUUCUUUCUGGAGUCAUUUCUCCACUGACCUCCAGCAGCAUGUUGGGCGCCUAGUGACCCGGGGAGUUCCUCUCUGUGUCCUGUCUUCGCCUUUUAAUCUCUUUCCAGGAGGAGCAUCGACCUGCGAAGACCGCGGGGUGGACUACAGCAGCAUCCUCUUCGGACCAUGUGGACUCCUGCUGGGGGUGGUGCCGCGUUUCCCGAAGCUGUCUUGGCAGCCGUGCCUGUGGCCGCAAACACCGUCCCCCUGCGCGGUGUCAGGCCCCUCCAGUGCUCGCGCUGUGUCCUCCCGUACAGCGGCGCCUCCCUGCCCCACCCCCACCAUCCCGGGGUUUCUGGAGGUCGAAACUACAAAUUCACACCCUGAAAGAAAAAGAGUUCAGGAAAAUUUUAGUUAGGCAAAAUGACAGGAUAUUAAGUUAGGACCUUGCCCAGAUGCGUGAAGGAGCUAAAUGUCUGAGUUGAAAAGGAUUCUAAUGUUCUUACUGCUGGUAACUUGCCAAGUAAUCCUGGAAAAAAAAUCUUUCUAUCUUAUCAAGAUACACAUAAAUACAUGUAUAUGCCUAUGUGGGCUUCUACACAGCUCAGGAAGAGCAACCACCAGAGAGAAAAGCGGGCAGAAGCGUUUGAGCACAUAACGCACAGAAGAGGAGUGCGACUGCCUGUCAAACAUGGGACACGCAAGCCGGCUCCACUUACGGGCCAGAGACGGAUCCCAGCUGCUCUCCAGUUAUCCUCGCAGACCCUCCUCCUACAAACAAAGCCCCCAAGGACGGUGCGCAGCUCACGGGUACGCGAAGGCUGGAUGUGCAGUGGACUGAAUGGCCAGCCCUCCGUCCUCCUCCCCUGCGGCGGCGCGUUCGUCCACCCUCGCCGUGCCUUUGUGAUGAGCUGGGCUGUCCCUUCACCCCUGGGGUCCAGGCAUGGCUCCAUGGCUUGAGAUGGCGGAUGUUAGCAGGAUGACCCCAGCAGAGGCCUGAAUGUCCUGCACGCCUUCCACCGUGGCACCUCCGCUGUGUUCCCAGUAGCCGCUGCCACGCUAGCCCAGAGCUCAGACCGGAACAUGUGAGGCCUGGGAGCCAUGGAUGGAGCCAAGUCCAUCCAAACCCCUACCGACCCACAAGCCUGUGAGUGAGGGGAAAAAGCAGCUUGGUCUUAAGCACAGAUGAUGCGGCUGUGCCGUAGGCAGCGUUCGUGGCCCUUCAGCCGCAAGGUCACGUCUGACUCUGUGACCCCAUGAACCGCGGCACGCCAGGGUUCCCUGUCCUUCACUACCUCCUGGAGUUUGUUCAAACUCAUGUCUACUGAGUCUUCCUACAUAUAUAUCCCUAUGUGAGAAAUGCAAACAGGUCCACACAACAGCUCGUGCACAGAUGUUUAAAGCAGCACUGUGCAUAAUCACCAGAGGUCGGAAGCAACCCACGCGUAUGGCUGGCUGGCUGAGGAAUACCCCGACAACGGAACGUUCGUCCACGAGGAGGGGAGGGCUGGCACGUGAGCGGGUCUCGUCAACAUCACGCUGUACGAGAAGCCAGUCACAGAACACCACGUCUAUUUAUAGGGAAUAUUUAGAAGCAAUAUAGGAAAUGUUUAUAUUUAUGAAUAGGAACAUUCAGAAGAGCUAAGUCCAUGGAGACAGAGAGCAGACAGGUGGUUACUUAGGGGCGGGGUGUGUGUGAUAAAAGGGCGUGGGGUCCCCUUUUGAAGCGAUGGAAACGUUCUAAUAGAGACGACGGUGAUGGCUGCACGUGUGGCUAUUCUAAAAACCACGGAAUCGUACAUUUUAAACAGGGUCUGCUGCCAUUGCCUGUCCCGCGCCUUUUCCGUGUCCGCGCCACCGUUCUUCACCUGCAGAAGUCUGCUUGCGGCUUUCCCAGCUACAGAGUUGUCGUCACUUUCCGAAAGAAGGGAGAGUGUUAUGGUGAUUGUUUCAAUGUCCUUUUCUGCUGGUUCUGACACCCAUGGAACUCCCGGGCCAGUCUUGCCUGAGCAGUCAAGACUGACUCUUCUCGCUUUGCCCUGAGCUCCUCCUUUGCAUGCCUGGUAAUCUUCAUGUGGACGCCGGACACCAUCAACUGUCCCCUGCGGCAUGUUGGGCACUUCUGUAUUCUUACAGAUCCUCUUGAACUCUGCAACGUAACUAACUUCUUGGAAGCAAUUUAGUCCCUUUGGGUCUUGUUUUUUGUUAGAUGGAUCUGGAAGUGUUAGUUGCUCAGUUAUAUCUGACUCUUUGCAACCCCACGGACUACAGUCCACCAGGCUCCUCUGUCCAUGGGGUUCUCCAGGGAAGAAUGCUGGAGUGCACUGCCAUCUCCUGCUUCAGGGAUCUCCCCGAGCCAGGGAUUGAACCUGGGUCUCCUGCAUAGACCGACGGGUUCUUUACCAUCUGAGCCAUGUGGGAAUCCCAGGCGGAUCUGGAGCAGACGGAUCUAAUUAUUCUCCAAAAUGGAGGAAGACUUCCCGAGUCCUCUUCUGCCCCAAACCUGUGCGCUGAGUUCUAGUCCAGUGGAUAGGAAUGGACAGCACCCGAGGCUCUGGGUGCCGACCCUUCUGGACGGUUCUGUGGCCAUUUACAGGAGCACUGAUCCGCACGUGGCUGGAUGUGCAGAGGCUAGGCUCUGGGGUUCCGUCCUCGGAGCCCCCUCCUCUCCAGGGCGCUCGGAGCCACGUCAGGACUCCAGGGUCCUGCUGGGCCCUGCCUCGGCUCCCCCUCCUCCCCGGUGCGGCGGCUGGCGGGAGUUGGGCAGUCCCAGACGCGUCUCAUUUCCCACUUCCCAGGGACCGCUGUCCAUGCUGUACCCGCCACCUCGUGCCCUCCGACUGCCACCUUCAGUGGUUCCAGGCAGAAGGGUCAGUGUGGCCCCUGCCCGUCUGUCUUGGCUGGAAGUGCACGUUUCCGACCAGUCUCCCCCCCCCCCCGUCCCCUCUUGUCUGAGGAGUGGUUGUCAACAACGCUGACUGUCAAGGAUUCUUCGAGGGAAUGUGUGUGAAGUGCCAUGACUUUGCCUCCGCGACCCUGGCCGGUCCUCACAAGCACGUACGUCUCCUUAGCCUCAUCUCCCUUCGGCAGCUGGCGCGUGAGGCUGGGUCUUUGCUGGCUCGGGGCCCGGGCAGGCGCUCUCAGGCCGUGCGCUGCGGCUCCCGUAGCCUGGCUUCGAGGCGCCCGUGCCCGAGGG